UUCCCCGCGCCCGGCGGGAGACCGGCCCCCGGCGGCGGCGCAACGGGCCGGGCCCGCCGCCUUGCCCCGCCUCCCUCCCCGCUCCUCCCGCAAGGUGCGGGGCAGCACCAGGUGAAGCCCCGCCUGGGCUCCGGCCGUGCCCCCCGAGGAGCUUUGGAUCAGGUCCCAGAGGAUGUCAGAGCUCUACCAGCCCUACUGAAAAACUGUAGUCCAAAUGCUGGCGUGCUAUUUGGCAAGCCACAACCAUAAGGUUAAGCAGAGGUUGCCAGAUGUAUCCUCCAUGGAGAGAAUCCUGGUGUUGCUUCCAAGAAGACCCAAAGGACAUGCAAUCUGGUGGUAGUGAAUUAUUCAAGAAGAUGCCACUAAAGUUUUAAAGCCCCGGUCUCUCCGAUAGCUGAGCAAGACCCACAACAGCAGAUCCGCUAAUGAAGACCUACCUGCUGCUGUCACUCUUCUAAUAUUGCAAGCAUUCUCCUGUUCCACCUCUCCACAACCAUUCUCCGGUUCCAUCUCUCCCGUAACAGAGCCUCUACCAACAGCUGAUGAAUGUGCUGGAUUUGCAGUUGCCCCAGGAUGCAGCAGUCAAGGCUGUGCUAUCUGAGCAGGUUGCAAGUAGUGUUUAUUGAGGUCUUCUCUCUAUCUUUUAUCCAUCAUCAACUGCCCUUUGCCUUGUGGACAACACCGAACAAAUAUGACCCUGUCAUAAGAGGAAGAGCGUAGAAGAAAAGUUGGCUAUACUAGUUUGUGUUCAUACUGGAAUGGCUGAAGCAGUAUAGCUUAUGAGUACAAGCUGUUGUUAACCACUGAGAGACUACAGAAAAGCCUCUGCUGGCAAGUUGUAGUCUGAACCUCCCUCUACCUGCCUGUGCCUGCUGCACCAGAGGAAACCUUGAGACAAGGAUGGAAGACAAGUGGGUUUCAAUAAAUCACUUUCCUGUCGGUGUGGAGGUCCAUUUUCAGAGCAUGUAGAGAAGAAAAGAUUUGAGUAGGCUGCUCAGCUCUCCUUCCUCACUCCAGAGAUACCUGGGGAACUUAUCAAUACUGGAAAGUUUGAGAAGAACCUGAAUUUCUUGUGGUUCAGGUGAUUUUGAAAGUCUCUGGGCAAAGAGGUCUGUUUUGCAAUGUACACUCUUUUCCCUUCAUUGUGCAUUCAUUCAUUCAUUCCAGUGUUACAGACUGGAAUUAAAAGUCUUAGAAGGGUAAACUUCUGAACAAAAAUCAGUCCUGAAACUAAGGAAGAAAAGGUUGACACCCUCCACUUAACCUUAUCUGGUGUAGACAGCCUCUGUUUAUAGUCACUGGUCAUUGAUAGGUAUCUCCCAAAAGCCAUUCAGCCCACCCAGCUUACACUCCUGUUUUAGGAUGCCAGUGGUGGUCAGUCUCCACUGAUUAUAAAGAUAAGCUCUAUGCCAAGGUUUGCUUAGAUGCUUGAUUUCUAGGAGACUAAAUUUGGGUAAAAUUAAUGCUCUCCUACAUGAUAAGAUUUUGUUAGGACUUGGGCAUGAUCGCCACAGACUACACCGAGCUUGGUCACCGUAACCCCUCAUUUGGUAUUGCAACUUCUGCUCCUUGGGUACUACCUUUCUUCACUGACACUGUAAGAAGCCAAAGACUGGUCAUUCUAGAUCACAGAAGUCAAAAUCUGUCUUUCCUUUCUUCCCUUCAAAUAUCAGGGCUGUCAAACCUUAUGUUUGAGAUAGCAUUUAAACUGCAAAAUAGCUUUCAUUUUUUAUUUAUACAUACAUUUCUUUGCCUCUCCUCAAGCUGCCUGAAUGUCACAUUUUGGCAACCAAAGCGCAAAAGAACCAUGUGGGACUGAGACUGAAAGAGGCCUCUGUGCCACAAGAGAAGUCAUGAGUGUCUUGGGGACAAGGCAAGCUCCUUGGAGGUAAUGAAGAGACUUGAUGAACAAGGGUUGUUAAUUCUGCUGGAACACAGUAAGGUAGGGGUUGGUGUUAUCAACACUUGGAGCCAGAUUUGCAAUGUAUAUUUAGUUGCAAGACACCCAGGCUUCAUUUGCCAUUAAGAAGGCAAAUUCCAUGCCUAUAUUAUUUGUGAGUUUGAUCUUUAUGGCCUAAUUUUCAGAGGCAGAUCUCUCCUCCAGCCCCAGUGAUUAUAACUGCACUUUGGGGGAUUUACUUCCUGUGAAUUCUUAACUAAUGUGAAUUGCCCUAUUGAUUACACAAGGGGGAAAUACUACUGCUGUAUAUAAAAGCUACAGUAUUGGACUCUGGAGGGUUAAGAUUCUCCUGGCUAUGAUCAGCUUCCCUGUUUGAUCAGCCUCCAAUAAAUUGAAGACAAGCGAAGCAUCAGCGUACAGUACACAAUUACAUUUCUGACACAUCACGUCUUGCUAUGCUAUCUCUUCUUAAAUCAGAAUCUGUUUUCACUCUUAUAAUUUAAUAGACCAUCAUAUAAAGCCUUGAAUGAAUAGAAUGCAUUUCUUUAAAUUUGACUGAAAAUAGC